CCUUCCUCCAGACGGCAGUGCUGGCCAUCCAUGACCCCCUGCUGCGUGUCUGCCAGGCUGGGCUGCUCCUCACCUACUCCCUCCUGGGGGAAGCCCAGCAGCUGGUGGGGGACAAGCAGGAGGACGUCACGGCCAAUGUGAUGCGCCAGCUCCGCAUCAUCCGUCACUUGUGCCAGGUGCCUGAGGCACUGCCGGGGCUGUGCCUCUGAGGCCACCAGCAACUCCCGCUCCCUGCUGCAGCCCCUGGGAUCUGGUCCAGCCUCCCAGACAGGCACAUCCUGCAGCUGAGCCACCUCAGGGAGCAGUGGGGACAGGUCACCUCGUCCCAUCAAAGCAAGCCAUGCUGGCUCUCAAAGAAGCUGAGAUGGAAGA